CCCAUCUCCUUUGCCAAAGGGAGGCCAGCCUCCAACCUCGUCUAUGCUAAACCCUAAACUACCAAAUAGAGAUCCAGUGAUGGUGCAGUUGGAAACUUGAUAGACAAUGAAGAUUAUGCUCCAAUUCAUUUUUGGGAGUAACAUGGAAGGCUGCUGCUUCCUUUUGUCAGAUGAAACCAAAGUGGAUGCGAUUUUGUACCUAUUUAUCUUUAUCAGUCUACCGGUAUUAGUCAAAAACUUCAAUUUAGCAGAAAGGAGUCUUUUGAAGUUUGGAGGCGCCCAAUAUUGUUUCUCUACAUAUGUACCAAUAAUAGUCUUAUUAGAACCAACAGGUUCAAGUUGGUUAUUGCUUUCAUAAUAAGAUUGUCCAAUCUUAUAAUAGAUCACUUAGAACUACCAAUCUGUGGAGGGGAACCCAUAAAAACUGCAAGAGGCUGCGCAUCGAGAAGUUCUUCAUCGCUCUGAUCUAAAUGAGCAACCGUCAUAGAAUUUGUUGGAUAAAUUUAACUCUUGUGUUUUGAGGAAUAUUCUGGAAGGCUGCAUAUAUAUAUUCAUUGAACCUGAAAAUGUAUUUGUUUUAGAUUCAUAAAGAAAUAUGUAAAGACUCACAUUGAUUGUGAUUCAUGGAACUCAAAAGUUUGUAACCUCUUGAUGAUCUGAACUCUCCUACUAUAUAUGGAGAAGUUUGUAAUAUCUUUUAAUAUAUCAGACCAACAAAAUAUUCCGAGAAAAAAUAGUUUUACUAUUCCUUUU